UGGGGAAUAUUGCACAAUGGACGGAAGUCUGAUGCAGCGACGCCGCGUGGGGGAUGAAGGCUUUCGGGUUGUAAACUCCUUUUGAUGCUGAACAAGGCUCUUUUUAGGGUUGAGGGUAGGUGUUGAAUAAGCGCCGGCUAACUACGUGCCAGCAGCCGCGGUAAUACGUAGGGCGCGAGCGUUGUCCGGAAUUAAUGGGCGUAAAGGGCUCGUAGGCGGUUUGUCGCGUCUGCUGUGAAAGACCGGAGCUUAACUCCGGGGUUGCAGUGGGUACGGGCAGACUAGAGUGCGGUAGGGGUAGCUGGAAUUCCUGGUGUAGCGGUGGAAUGCGCAGAUAUCAGGAGGAACACCGAUGGCGAAGGCAGGUUACUGGGCCGUUACUGACGCUGAGGAGCGAAAGCAUGGGGAGCGAACAGG
rnacentral:rRNA from 1 species